GUUUUUCGGUGGUUUUGAUAUCUAUGUUUUCCCGAAAGUUCAUGGAACUGGGGAUGUGUCGGUCAUGCCUGAUGUAUCUGUUGAUCUUGUCACUAAUACUGUAAUAUUGAAGGUGCAGCAGAGGAUUCAAUCUCUUCAAGCUGGAGCCAAGGCUUAGCACUUCUUCAAGUGGAACGUUAUUUAAUGUUGCAUUCCAUGGUCAUUCAUCUUAGUCAGAACUUGAAUUUUGUGUUAUGGAAACAAGGUUCGUAGCUACGUUGUGUACCAGCUUCUUUAACCAUGAUGGUUAAUUAUUACUAGUUUUGUAGCCUCUUUUAUAAUUGGCCGA